GAACGCACAUUGCGCCCGGUGGUAUUCCGCCGGGCAUGCCUGUUCGAGCGUCAUUUAAACCAAUCCAGCCUUGUGCUUGGGUCUUGGGCCUUUCGCCUCUGGGCGGGCCUUAAAAUCAGUGGCGGUGCCGUCUGGCUCUAAGCGUAGUAAUACUCCUCGCUAUAGACGUCCGGUGGUGUCUUGCCAGCAACCCCUAAUUUCAAAGGUUGACCUCGGAUCAGGUAGGGAUACCCGCUGAACUUAAG
rnacentral:misc_RNA from 1 species